UAGAUUGAAGCCAGAUGUGAUAGGGUAUUUAGCUGUUAACUAAAGUUUCGUGGGAUUGAGGCCCACCAGUCUAG
rnacentral:tRNA from 2 species